UUGUCUGCGCUGCGCGGAGUGUUUACUUAUAGAGCUCUAGCUCCCACAUGGAGGUCACGGCGCCAACCCGGAUCUCGCGAGAUCUACGCCGGGCUCCGCCUUAAAGAGGACCACUCUCUACCUGCCCACUGUCCUGAAGUCCAAAGACAGAGAGUACAUAGAUGGGGUCAGUGCUUUCAUACUUCCAACUUCCGACUGAGUCUGGCCAAUGGAGAGGAAGCACAGACAGGAACACUGCAGAAUGGGAAAGGAGUGAGAUUCCACAUUAGAAAAGGCAGAGGAACCAGAAAUCAAA